rnacentral:lncRNA from 10 species
CGGAACUUUAUCUCUUCCAGGCUGAUAUUUUCCAAAAACAGCAAGCAUGCCCCAUUUUCAAGGAAGAGCUUAUAAAAGCUCUUCUCUCACUAAUGACUUUCUCAGAUGGGCAAUGCUGUAUUCUGUGGGCAUGAAAGGCAAAGAAAACUAAACAGUGAGUGGGACCUAUAUCUGGUUCCUUAUAUUUUCGAAUGUUUUGAUUUCCACCAUCUCAGCCAUUGGGGAAAUCCUAUCCUCGGAUUAGGAACCAUGCUCAUGGAGAAUUUAGAGGAGGAAAAUCUUUACAUUGAAGGUAAGUUCUAGCAACAGCCUUUUGGAAGAAAAGAACUUUGAUUUGGGUCUCGAAUGGUAACAGAAAGUCAGCCUCAGGAAAAUUUGCAAGAAGAGAAUUCCGUGCCAAGAAGAGAACAAUCCAAGGUUCCGAGCUGGAAAAGAAGAACAGUAUGGCUUCUUCAAGCUGAUAUGGAGAGGGAUUCUCAGUAGAUUGCCACACUGGUCUCAAACUCUUUGCUUUAAGUUGUCUUCCUGCCUCAGCCUCCCUAGUCACUGGGAUUACAGGACAGGCUUCAGAAAAAUGGAAAAUUGAUCUAACAAGGAAGAAGUAUUAUGAAGCAAUGUUAAAAAGAAAUUGGUAAUAAUUGCCAACAGAGAAAACCCUUCAAAGAGAGUUGCUGCUUUUCCUAAGGGUUUCCAAGGAUCCAAAAACCUUCGGAAGUUCCAAGGAUCAAGUCCCAGGAUCUAAGCUGGACCUUUCCUGGAACAAAUUCCUUCAGACAAAUUCUCCACCAGACCAUCAACUCAGGAGGGCAAACAAGGAACUUGUUUUCAAGAGCUGGAGCCAAACCACCCAGAGUUUCCUGUGCCAGGUGAGCAUGAAGAGGGGCCGAAGUCACCCAUUACUAACCCCUCACCCAUGACUGCCUGAAAGGUAUGUCUCAGGCUUUAACCAUGAAACCUGUUUCCUCUCUCCCCUCCAAAGUCCAGCCCAGAGAGGCAUGAUAAAAUCACUUAGCAAAUGGAAAAUAUUUUGUGCUUAUUCUAAGAAAUGUGAUCCAUCAAAAAUGAGCUGACAAGUCAUUUCAUUUCCAAGGACAGUGUCCACAUACUCCAGGCAGCCUCUGGACCUGGAAUAAGACACAUCUAAGCCACAGGCCAGUAAGGACCAUACAGCUAUAACGUUAUGAGUGAUUCUGUAGCAUGGUUUUAAGGCACCAGCUGCACAGUCAGACUGCCUGGUUUCAGCCCAGCUCCCUCAUUUGCUAGCUGUGAAAACUGGGUGAAUUGCUUAAGCAACCCUUAAUGACAUUUUGUUGUUUUAAAAACGGCAAUAAUAAUAAUACUCCCUUCUUCAUAUGAUUGUUUUGAGAUUUGGAUAAGGCAAUAGGUGCUUUAUUCGAUAAGGACCCUAGAACAUACAAAUCUAUUUUAAAAAUGCUAUUAAUAUGGUUUUGCCCUAAAAAGGCAGGUUCUUCUGUUUCUCAAAUCUGACAAAGUUUUGUCAGACUCUUGAAUUCUCAUUAAUAGUUCCAACACAGACUAUUAAUGCUGUUAGUUUUGACCAAAUACAUGACUCAUGAAUUAACUAACUCUUACUUGGUAAUCUGAAGGAAUCAAUAAAAUCCACACUUAAUUCCCCCUAAAUCAACUGAACAACUAUGGACUAUGGAAUUGGGGAGAUCUGUCUAAAUGGCAGCAAUAUCAACUACGAAAAAUAUUUAUUUAGAGUCUGGGUAGGUACCAAGUUCAAUGAACUGCUUAGAGAGUCUGUGUUGCUUUGGUGACUGUUCUAGGCAGUGCUAAUUUUGCUACAAUUUCCUUUCUUAAGUAAGUCACAACCAGAAUAAAAACAAAGUUCUAGAAAUCCCAUAUUUUUACAAACUGGAUUGAUGAAACCAGUUUUUAAAAUAUCAGAGGACCAGACUGAAAAAGAAACCAGGUGUAGCAAAAGGCAACUCUUCUGGAAACUGAAAAUUCAAAGAAACAUGGUAAUCUCACUGUAUUAAUUUUCUUUUCCUCUUGUAACAAAUUACCACAAGCUUAGUGGCUUAAAACAACACAAAUUUAUAUCCUACAGUUUGUGGAGAAGUAUGAAGUGGGUCUUCCAGGGCUAAAAUCAGUGCUGGUAGAGAGGGGGUACAGAGAAUCUGUUCCUAUUCUUUUCAGCUUCUAGAGAAAGCCUGGGUUCCUUGGCUCAAAGUUUCUUCCAGCAGGGGCAUCUCUCUGACCUCUGUUUCCACUGCCUCAGCUCCUACUCUCACUCGAACCCUCCUGCAUCCCUCUUAUAGGAACCCUUGUGAUUACACUGAGCCUUCUCAAUCAAUGCAGGAUAAUCUUCUAUCUAUCUCAAGACCCGUAAUGUAAUCACAUCUGCAAAGUCCCUUUUGCCAUUUGAGGUAACAAAUCCAUAGGCUCCAAGAAUUAAGAUAUGGACAUCUUUUAGGGGACCAUUCUUCUGACUACCAUACUCCCCUAGCUGAAGAAUUAUUGUGUGAAACAGGGAUAAAGGCAGAACUAAUAUAAAUGAGUCAAAGUGGCCAGGAGGUGAAAUUUGGCUCCAAACAGAAGAAUCUCAAUAAUGAUAAGAGGUGAGUGAAAAAGGACAGGAGCUUUUGAGGAGGAUGUGGGCUCUUUAUCACUAGGGCUGAGCCUCUCUUUCUAAACAUUCACUCCCUCUGCCCAUGUUGGGGUUUUGAUUGCAUGGCAUUUGAGGGUCUUUCCAAUUUUAAGCUUCCAGGUCUUUGAAAAUUUGGAAGGUGUGUCAGUCAGUGUAUAGGCUAGGCUAUGCUGGGUAACAACCAAUCCCCCAAAUCUCAGUGAUUUCAAUCAACACAUCCAUUGUUGGACUGCAUUAGCUCUGGUCGUUGUGGUCCUCUAGGGACUAAAGAGACACCACCACUGCAGACAUAGCUAGCCACAGUGCCAGCAGGAUAGAGAGUUCUGGAGGGUCUAGAAAGAGCAACUGAUACCCUGGUCCACAAGGGUCACACAACACUUACACUAACAGCUCCUCAGUCAGAACUAGUCACAAGUCUCUGGCCAACUAAAAGGAAGACCAGGAUAAAGAGCCAAUCUGGAAGGCAAAGAAACAGAAAUAUUGACGAGUGCAAAUAGUGACUGUGACAGGAAACAAUUGACCCUCUCCAUCAAUCAAUUCACAGAUUUUAGUCAUAAAAGGAGUCAUAAAACUCUUUUGACCCCUAAAGAGUUUUUCUAAACAGGGUGACGGUCAAUCGAUUAUCCUAGGCUCACUGAUGCAACAAGAUUGUCUUAAGCAUGUUCUUCUUUCUUGAUUUUAGCUCCAUGGUUAGGGUUUCACUUUCAAAAGAUUAAUAAUAAGGUGAUAAUGAUGAUGAUAAUGAUGAUGAUGAUGGUAAUGCAUGCUUUUUGAAAAUCACAGUGUACUGAGCAUUGUACUCAGCAUUUUCCACAUUUAUUUUUUGAAUCUCAGGCAUAGAGGCAUGAGUGAAUCACACUUCUGAUUUCAUAGCAUACUUCUAUUGUAAGACUCAUACAAAGACUCUCUCAUGGUGUAUUUUAUUCAUGUGUCCCCUCUCCUCAUUUUAUCAACCAUAAUGUCUUUGAUAUGAUACCUUAAUAUUUUGUAUAUUUUUGCAAAUUGUAUAGUGUUGUUGUUAUGUAGGUAUUUUUAAUUCUAUAAAAGUAUAUUCAUGUAUACUGGUUCUGUUUAUUUCUUCCUUACAUUCGGAUCUUACUGCAUUUAUGAGUAUAUGUCUCACGUAGUUAAUGUCUUAUAACAGUAACGUAAUAUUCCAUACUGUGUGUCCAUUAUAGUUCCCUUAGCUUUUCCCCUGCAAUGGAACAUCUAGGUUGUCUAAUGUUCCCUGAUACUUUAAACCAGGGGUCAGCAAACAUUUUUUAUAAAGAGUGACACAGUAAAUAUAUUUGGCUUUGGGGGUUCUGAAGUCUUGGUUUUAAGGAUUUUGCUGCUGUUAUACCAUAAAAGCAGCCAUAGACAGUGCACAAAUACAUGCCUGUGGACAUAUUUGGCCCAUUGGUCAUAUUUGACAAUCCCUAGUUCAAACACCAUGGUGAUGAAUAUCCUCUAUGUGUUCCCUUAUGAAAUUGGGGCUAGAUGUUCUCUCAAAUAUACUGUACAAACAAGAGUGAGAUUGCAGCAUCAUAAGAUAUGCCCAAACAUCAUUAGACUAAGUAUUUCUGGUUGCAUCAGCCUGUUCUCUUAACAACAGUUAAUAAAAAUAAGAGCCCUCAGAAAUAACG